ensembl:snoRNA
ACUCCUCAGCCUUCCUCCAAGGGCUCAUGCCUGCUGAGUGCCCUGGCAUUGUCUGAGGAUAGUCCAGCAAGCACCGUCCUCCCCAGUGAGACUCUGCUAACUUUUGGGGCCUGCUAGGUGAGCUGAUGGU